AGUGAACGCUGGCGGUAGGCCUAACACAUGCAAGUCGAACGAGUGGCGGACGGGUGAGGAAUACAUCGGAAUCUCCUCUGUCGUGGGGGUUAACGUAGGGAAACUUACGCUAAUACCGCAUACGAUUGAAGGAGCCGCUGUCGGAUUAGCUAGUUGGCGGGGUAAAGGCGCACCAAGGCGACGAUCCGUAGCUGGUCUGAGAGGAUGAUCAGGCACACUGGAACUGAGACACGGUCCAGACGCCUACGGGAGGCAGCAGUGGGGAAUAUGGGGCAAUGGGCGCAAGCCGGAUCGAGCCAUACCGCGUGGGUGAAGAAGGCCUGCGGGUUGUAAAGCCGUUUUGUUGGGAAAGCGGUACCCAAAGAAUAAGCGCCGGCUAACUUCGUGCCAGCCGCCGCGGUAAUAC
rnacentral:rRNA from 1 species